UGGAGGUUGAUGCGUCCCUCCCGCCGUGAGCGAGGGACACAUUGAGUAAAGAACCGGGCAGAAAUCGGGGGCCUGGGUGGCGAAGC
rnacentral:ncRNA from 1 species